rnacentral:rRNA from 1 species
UACAGAGGGUGCGAGCGUUGUUCGGAAUUAUUGGGCGUAAAGCGCUUGUAGGCGGCCUGUCAAGUCGCGUGUGAAAUCCCCAGGCUUAACCUGGGAAGUGCGCGCGAAACUGACGAGCUUGAGUGCCGGAGAGGGUCGCGGAAUUCCCGGUGUAGAGGUGAAAUUCGUAGAUAUCGGGAGGAACACCAGUGGCGAAGGCGGCGAUCUGGGAAGAUACUGACGCUGAGGUGCGAAAGCGUGGGGAGCAAACAGG